GCUUAUUCUCAGGGCGGGGUGAAAUUCCCCACCGGCGGUAAAUCAGCUUUGCUGAAAGCCCGCGAGCGCUUCGGACCUUCUGGUCCGAAGGUCAGCAGAUCCGGUGUAAUUCCGGGGCCGACGGUUAGAGUCCGGAUGGGAGAGAAUAACG
rnacentral:ncRNA from 1 species